rnacentral:rRNA from 1 species
GACGAACGCUGGCGGCGUGCCUAAUACAUGCAAGUAGAACGCUGAAACUUGGUGCUUGCACCGAGCGGAUGAGUUGCGAACGGGUGAGUAACGCGUAGGUAACCUGCCUGGUAGCGGGGGAUAACUAUUGGAAACGAUAGCUAAUACCGCAUAAGAGUAGAUGUUGCAUGACAUUUGCUUAAAAGGUGCAAUUGCACCACUACCAGAUGGACCUGCGUUGUAUUAGCUAGUUGGUGGGGUAACGGCUCACCAAGGCGACGAUACAUAGCCGACCUGAGAGGGUGAUCGGCCACACUGGGACUGAGACACGGCCCAGACUCCUACGGGAGGCAGCAGUAGGGAAUCUUCGGCAAUGGACGGAAGUCUGACCGAGCAACGCCGCGUGAGUGAAGAAGGUUUUCGGAUCGUAAAGCUCUGUUGUAAGAGAAGAACGAGUGUGAGAGUGGAAAGUUCACACUGUGACGGUAUCUUACCAGAAAGAGACGGCUAACUACGUG